rnacentral:rRNA from 1 species
CCUACGGGAGGCAGCAGUGAGGAAUAUUGGUCAAUGGACGCAAGUCUGAACCAGCCAUGCCGCGUGCAGGAAGACGGCUCUAUGAGUUGUAAACUGCUUUUGUACGAGGGUAAACGCAGAUACGCGUAUCUGUCUGAAAGUAUCGUACGAAUAAGGAUCGGCUAACUCCGUGCCAGCAGCCGCGGUAAUACGGAGGAUUCAAGCGUUAUCCGGAUUUAUUGGGUUUAAAGGGUGCGUAGGCGGUCGGAUAAGUUAGAGGUGAAAUCCCGAGGCUCAACUUUGGAAUUGCCUUUGAUACUGGUCGGCUUGAGUGUAGUUGAGGUAGGCGGAAUGCAUGGUGUAGCGGUGAAAUGCUUAGAGAUCAUACAGAACACCGAUUGCGAAGGCAGCUUACCGGCGCCCGACUGACGCUGAGGCACGAAAGCGUGGGGAUCGAACAGGAUUAGAUACCCUUGUAGUC